rnacentral:rRNA from 1 species
CAGUAGCCGCGGUAAUACGGAGGGAGCUAGCGUUGUUCGGAAUCACUGGGCGUAAAGCGCACGUAUGCGGCUAUUCAAGUCAGGGGUGAAAGCCCGGGGCUCAACCCCGGAACUGCUUUUGAAACUAGAUAGCUUGAAUCUUGGAGAGGCGAGUGGAACUCCGAGUGUAGAGGUGAAAUUCGUAGAUAUUCGGAAGAACACCAGUGGCGAAGGCGACUCGCUGGACAAGUAUUGACGCUGAGGUGCGAAAGCGUGGGGAGCAAACAGGAUUAGAUACCCGUGUAGUCCCUGUCUCUUAUAC